rnacentral:rRNA from 1 species
UACGUAGGGGCUAGCGUUAUCCGGAAUUACUGGGCGUAAAGGGUGCGUAGGUGGUUUCUUAAGUCAGAGGUGAAAGGCUACGGCUCAACCGUAGUAAGCCUUUGAAACUGGGAAACUUGAGUGCAGGAGAGGAGAGUGGAAUUCCUAGUGUAGCGGUGAAAUGCGUAGAUAUUAGGAGGAACACCAGUUGCGAAGGCGACUUACUGGACUGUAACUGACGCUGAGUCACGAAAGCGUGGGUAGCAAACAGGAUUAGAUACCCCUGCAGUCCCUGAGCGGG